rnacentral:lncRNA from 1 species
UUAAAACAAUGGGUCAAACUUAACUAAACAAAUUAUAAUAAGAUUAUAUAUAUGUUUAGAAGCAAGAGUUGGGAAUAAUCCAUAUGAUGGAUUAGAAUAAGGAGUUAUUCAUCCAACUGAAAUUUUCGAGAGUUGUAUGAGAUACAAUUGGAAGGAGUUCCUACCUAAAAUAACCUAGUUUUGUGUAAUCCGCCUACGCGGACUUAGAACGAAGUGAAA